UGGGGAAUAUUGGACAAUGGGCGCAAGCCUGAUCCAGCCAUGCCGCGUGAGUGAUGAAGGCCCUAGGGUUGUAAAGCUCUUUCACCGGUGAAGAUAAUGACGGUAACCGGAGAAGAAGCCCCGGCUAACUUCGUGCCAGCAGCCGCGGUAAUACGAAGGGGGCUAGCGUUGUUCGGAUUUACUGGGCGUAAAGCGCACGUAGGCGGACUAUUAAGUCAGGGGUGAAAUCCCGGGGCUCAACCCCGGAACUGCCUUUGAUACUGGUAGUCUUGAGUCCGAGAGAGGUGAGUGGAAUUCCGAGUGUAGAGGUGAAAUUCGUAGAUAUUCGGAGGAACACCAGUGGCGAAGGCGGCUCACUGGCUCGAUACUGACGCUGAGGUGCGAAAGCGUGGGGAGCAAACAGG
rnacentral:rRNA from 1 species